rnacentral:rRNA from 1 species
UACGUAGGGGACUAGCGUUGUUCGGAAUUACUGGGCGUAAAGCGCACGUAGGCGGAUUUGUAAGUCAGGGGUGAAAUCCCGGGGCUCAACCUCGGAACUGCCUUUGAUACUGCAAAUCUCGAGUCCGGAAGAGGUGAGUGGAAUUCCUAGUGUAGAGGUGAAACUCGUAGAUAUUAGGAAGAACACCAGUGGCGAAGGCGGCUCACUGGUCCGGUACUGACGCUGAGGUGCGAAAGCGUGGGGAGCAAACAGG